UUUAAUGAGAGUUUGAUCCUGGCUCAGGACGAACGCUGGCGGCGUGCCUAAUACAUGCAAGUAGAACGCUGAGGUUUGGUGUUUACACUAGACUGAUGAGUUGCGAACGGGUGAGUAACGCGUAGGUAACCUGCCUCAUAGCGGGGGAUAACUAUUGGAAACGAUAGCUAAUACCGCAUAAGAGUAAUUAACACAUGUUGGUUAUUUAAAAGGAGCAAUUGCUUCACUGUGAGAUGGACCUGCGUUGUAUUAGCUAGUUGGUGAGGUAAAGGCUCACCAAGGCGACGAUACAUAGCCGACCUGAGAGGGUGAUCGGCCACACU
rnacentral:rRNA from 1 species